CUCAGGGUCCAGUUUUCCCAGGAAUCCCUUAGAUGCUAAGAUGGGGAUUCCUGGAAAUACUGUUCUUG
ensembl:miRNA MIR145 microRNA 145